rnacentral:rRNA from 1 species
GAAAAUGGACCUAAAGACUCUGAAGACAUCAGAUCUUCUCUGAUCUUGGAAGCUAAGGAGCGCCUGACCUGAUUAAUGCUUGGAUGGGAGAUUGUCAGGGAAAAUCAGGUUCUGUAGGCU